AAUAUAAAGAUGCUGGAGUCCAACACACCCUGGAUAUGUGGCAUAGAUCCAAGAGCUUGAGCAAGAAAAUCCAUGCAGCUGGACUGCAAAGUGAGUGCAAUAUUCUGCAGACUUUGAACAAGGACAUCUGUGACCACUUUUGGUAUUGUUGCAAGACUGCAGAUCACUAUAAAGAGUUCUUUGACAACAUGCCUGGGCCUUUGGGGCCUGUCAGCAUGGUCCCUGGAGGACACAGAGUAGGAGUGGAUCCAGACGAACUCUGUGGCACACCAGAGACUGACUAAUAGUUCUUGAUGAACGCUGGCUGAAGAACGUCUACAAAUAUCUCCAUUUCAGGUCAACUGUAGAGCUGGAGUCCUUCCACAACCACAUUCUAAUGUAUGCAAGCAAACGCUUCAGCUUCUCUCCACCAGUGUACAAAGCUGGAGUCAUGCUGGCUGGCCUGGACAACAACCACCACCUUCACAGAGCAGCCAAGAGAACGG